rnacentral:rRNA from 1 species
GUGACCUGCGGAAGGAUCAUUACUAGAGCAAAGGAUAGACAGCGCCCGCGGAGCUCGCUCCCGGGGCCACCCUACUCCGGUAGGGUUUAGAGUCGUCGGGCCUCUCGGAGAAGCUCGGUCCUGAACUCCACCCUUGAAUAAACUACCUUUGUUGCUUUGGCGGGCCGCCUCGUGCCAGCGGCUUCGGCUGUUGAGUGCCCGCCAGAGGACCACAACUCUUGUUUUUUAGUGAUGUCUGAGUACUAUAUAAUAGUUAAAACUUUCAACAACGGAUCUCUUGGUUCUGGCAUCGAUGAAGAACGCAGCGAAAUGCGAUAAGUAAUGUGAAUUGCAGAAUUCAGUGAAUCAUCGAAUCUUUGAACGCACAUUGCGCCCUCUGGUAUUCCGGGGGGCAUGCCUGUUCGAGCGUCAUUAUAACCACUCAAGCUCUCGCUUGGUAUUGGGGUUCGCGGUUUCGCGGCCCCUAAAAUCAGUGGCGGUGCCUGUCGGCUCUACGCGUAGUAAUACUCCUCGCGAUUGAGUCCGGCAGGUCUACUUGCCAGCAACCCCUAAUUUUUUUUAAGGUUGACCUCGGAUCAGGUAGGGAUACCCGCUGAACUUAAGCAUAUCAAUAAGCGGAGGAAAAGAAACCAACAGGGAUUACCUCAGUAACGGCGAGUGAAGCGGUAACAGCUCAAAUUUGAAAGCUGGCUCUUUUAGGGUCCGCGUUGUAAUUUGUAGAAGAUGCUUCGGGUGUGGCCCCGGUCUAAGUUCCUUGGAACAGGACGUCAUAGAGGG